rnacentral:rRNA from 1 species
ACUCCUACGGGAGGCAGCAGUGGGAAUAUUGCACAAUGGGCGCAAGCCUGAUGCAGCCAUGCCGCGUGUGUGAAGAAGGCCUUCGGGUUGUAAAGCACUUUCAGUUGUGAGGAAGGUUAGUCGCUAAUAUCGGCUAGCUGUGACGUUAGCAACAGAAGAAGCACCGGCUAACUCCGUGCCAGCAGCCGCGGUAAUACGGAGGGUGCGAGCGUUAAUCGGAAUUACUGGGCGUAAAGCGCGUGUAGGUGGUUUGUUAAGUCAGAUGUGAAAGCCGGGC